AAAUCCUGUGCUUCAAAUAACCCAGCAUGAAGAGCACCGACUCUGCUCUGGACCUUGUUUGAACAUUGAUGAAUAAGACAUGCAUCUGCCCUAAACGGAUGCACAGGCUACAAAGGGAAACACACGUGAGAAGGAUGAAAAUGAAGACAAUGGCAACAAUGAUGCGCUUACUGUUUGAAGUGAAAGGAGAUGUUUUGUUUGUAUCCAGGUGGCAUUGGGAUGCAGGUCCAGGAAACCCUCAGUCAAGCCCUGCUGCUCACCUUCUUCCCUGCUCAAUGCAGGAGAACUAUCUGCAAGGAGCAAGAGCCGAGUGUUCACAAGGAAGUGCUUAAUUAACUGGGCAACUGUCUGAAACCAACAGCCCCACCACCUCCCUGAGAGCAGAGCUCUCUGGUAAUACCUGGACUGAAAUAAGAAACUUAGGUUGGAGGUCUUGAUAAGCCUUUUCUGCAACUGAGCACUCCCCUUCCAAAUCGAAAUCUCUGGCUAGCACGAGCUGGGGCUGAACACAUUCACCCACACAGCUCCCUGGGAGGGAGAGAGGUGUGUGCCCUGGGGAACAGGGUCCACCUGUCUGAGACCAGAGUGCCAGAGAGCACAGUGCCCUUGGUGCUAAUCACUGAGGCACAGUUUCCCCUCAGCUCCAUGGAAGGUCCUGGCUGUCAAGACUCAGCACCCCUUCCUCUUUUGUGGCGGAGCUGAAAAGGGGCUGGGGGAGAAGCAGUGAUGCCUGGAGAGAGCAAAUGAAAGGGCUCCUCCUCUGCAGCUUUCUAGGAGAUCCUGUGACUUAGCCGGUAUCACACAGCUACUGCCUUGUGGUGGGAGGCCCCCAUUCUGUGUGCACCACAGCACAGCCAAGGGCUACAACAGCGGGCUGUGCAAGGAGCCUUGGAGUAAAACAAAGGAGCUGUUGGUUCAGCUAGAAAUGGGAGACAGGUGGAGCCCCAUGAAGGGGUCCCCGAAAUGAGAAUGCAGGAAAAGCAUUUCUGGAGGAGGACCCCAGGAUAAAGGCAGGGCAUGUGGAGCAUGCUCCUCCCACAGCACGUCUACCAGGUGCGGAAGCCCUCAGUGUCCUUGUCUCUAGUGUAGUGUCUGGGACCCAAGCCUGCAGGGAGACCCAGGAGACAAGCUGGGACCUGGGUGUUGCAGCAAGGAGUUUCCACUCUAUUCCAUAGGUGGCUGAAGGGGAGCAUAGGCUUACAGGGAGCAAGGCCACAUUGUCUCAUGGGUGAUCGGGCAGUGCAGAGGAUGGGAGAGGCUGCAGGUGUGCGAGGGGACAAGGAAGAGGCCAGAGCUAGGGCCGUGGCAGUCAGGAUAGAAAUGGUUGGCCACAGUGAAGAGUCCUUUAGAGGACUGGCCAGGUGAGGUUACCAAUUAGAUGGCAAAUAGAAAGAGGGGAAGAAAGAAGGAAGCUGGGGAUUAUAGCUUGGGGUCCUUGGAUGAGAGCUCAUUAAGACAAGAAUCAGAAGGAAGGAAGCAGAACUGGGCAGAGGAAGAGAACAUGGGGAAGCGUGUUUAGAACCAUCCAACACCUGCAGAAAGAGACUGUAUAUCAUCAAUUUAGCACACAUUUUCACUCAGAUUUUAACAUAUCUGAAAUUGUAAUGCAUCUUGCAACUGAUGUUUCCAGAAAGCCAUGUAUCAUAGUUUAGUUGGCAGCAUUUUCUCCUUCCUAGUGGUGUGUCAAAAACAUGUUUUCACAAUUGAUGGCAACUUAGAUUGUAUGAGAUGAUCUUGCUGAGUUGGCUUUGAGAGGUGUGGAAGCCUAGAACUCAGCUCUCUCCUGCUUUGUGGCACUUAGGUGACUUUGAGCACAAGUUCCUUCCUGGGACUCCGUGUCCUUGUCUCUAAUGUAGGGCUAGUCACUGGUGCAGUAGCAUUUGCUCAAAGGAGCUGUCCUGGGCUCCCUAACUAAGCUCAGAAGAUUUGGAGUUGAAGCUGUUUUAGGAUUAAACCAUUUUACUGUCUUUCUUCCCCUACCAGCUGUAUGCAUUGUCUGAUCCCUUAAAAAGCCACCUAGCACCCCAAAUCCAUCAACUGAUACAUCUUUUUUUUAAAGCGUGUAUCCAUGCGAUGGAGUAGUAUUCAGCCAUAAAAAGGAGCAAAGUACUGAUUCAUGCUACAGCAGGAUGAACUUUGAAAACAUGCCAAGUGAAAGAGGCCAGUCACAAAGGACCACAUGUUAUAUGAUUCCAUUUCUAUGAAAUGUCUAUAAAAAGCAAAUCUAUGGAGACAGAAAGUACAUUAGUAGAUCAGUAGUUGACAGGGGCUGGGAGGUGGAGAGGAGAUGGCUAAGUGGCAGGGUAUUUUUUAGGGUAUGAGGAUGUUCUAAAAUUGAUUGUGGUGAGAAUUGUUAAUUCCGUGAAUGCACUAAAAGCUGUCGAAUUUUAUACUUUAAAUGAAUCCAUGGUACGGUGUGUGAAUUAUAUCUCAAUAAACUGCUUUGUUUUAG
rnacentral:lncRNA from 1 species